rnacentral:lncRNA from 1 species
UCACUGCCCAGAUCAAGCUAAAGCAGAAACCCGGAGGCAACAGACAGCAGUGAUAUGGGCAGUGAUUUGCCCAAGAAACUCGAAGAUCACUGGCCAAAUCACUCGCAGAGACAUAGAGGACUGACUCACAGAGAAGCGAUCUGGUCAGUGAUUUGCCCAAUCACUUGAAGAAACUGGUCAAACCACCGGGCAAAUCACUUUGAAAGCAGAAACUUGACAGCAGAGUGGGAAAGACAGCAGAAAACAGAAAUCCGAAUUUUUAGAAGUCCAAAUCCAACUCAAUCACUAUCAAUACAAAUCCAAGAGCCACGAAAAGAACUUCUCAUCCAAGGAAUUCCAAUUGCAAUUAAAUUCAACAUCAAAAGAGGAGUCAAACACCAAAUCAAAAAGGGAUUUUGAAACCCUAGAUGGAUGGAAAUCUGCAGCUAUAAAAGGAGAGCCUCCAAACCAGCAAGCCACUCUCUCUCAUCAGCAACUCAACUCGCCAGAAACUCUCCAGCAUCUUCCUUUUUCUUUUCUUUUCAUCUUUUGUGUAUUUAGUCCACCAUGAGUGGCUAAACUCCUUCUUUUCUAGUUGAAGUUGGUGAAUUUCAGAUUUUGUGAUGAAUUGGGAGAUUUAAUACUCCAUUGUUGAACUCUUGUUUAUUUCAAUAUUUAUGCAAUCUGAUCUUUUCCAUAAUUAUUACUUUGCUUUUAGAAUCAAUAAGGGCCCAUUGCUUUUAAAUUGCUUAAGUGAUAAAUUGUUUG